rnacentral:rRNA from 1 species
AUUGAACGCUGGCGGCAGGCCUAACACAUGCAAGUCGAGCGGAGCGGCGGACGGGUGAGUAAUGCCUAGGAAUCUGCCUGGUAGUGGGGGAUAACGUCCGGAAACGGGCGCUAAUACCGCAUACUAUCAGAUGAGCCUAGGUCGGAUUAGCUAGUUGGUGGGGUAAAGGCCUACCAAGGCGACGAUCCGUAACUGGUCUGAGAGGAUGAUCAGUCACACUGGGACUGAGAAACGGCCCAGACUCCUACGGGAGGCAGCAGUGGGGAAUAUUGGGCAAUGGGUGAAAGCCUGAUCCAGCCAUGCCGCGUGAGUGAAGAAGGUCUUCGGAUCGUAAAGCACUGUAAGUUGGGAGGCGUUACCUACAGAGAAAGCACCGGCUAACUACGUGCCAGCAGCCGCGGUAAUUC